AAAAAAGAACGAGCCCAUCCCAGUGACAACACAGUCACUGGGCAGCUCUGGGAGGAUUUUUUUUCCCCCAUUGCCAAAAUAUGAGGAAUGCUCGCUGGGCACCGGAGUGGCGCUGGCACGUUUCCGAGAAACACUGGGAAAUCUGAGCAGGGGUGUGGAAACUGGCUCGCCGGCCAUGACACCCGGCCCGCGCCCGGCCCGCCACCAGGAUGACAGCGGCCUGGCCGACCCUGCGCCCCACGGUCGCACCGUCAGCCCUGUGGCCUACCUGAGGGAGCCGGGCAGUGCCGGGUCCCGUCGUGCAGCGGCAGCGGUGGUUGAGAGAACGCGUUGGUUGCGGUCACAUUCGGCGUGUCCCCAGCCCGGGGGACGGGGCCCCGGGGAGGCCCCGCAUCGCUGCACUAGCGCCCCGCGCCUCAGGGCACGCGCCCCAAAGCUCGGCCAGCUGGCCCGUCCGAGGGCCUGCGGAGAACAACAGAGAAGCCUUCCCGCCUCAAGUCCGCUCGGCUCUAACUCCCGCCAUCCAAGAUGGCGGCACCAGCACCCGCGAAGAAGACGCUCUCAGGCUAUCCCGGGCGAGCUAGCCCUGCGCUCGACACUCGUCUCCACGACCUGCGGCGCCGCCGGGCUCACUGCCUCUGCGCGAGCUCCUGGGCUCGGCAGUCCGCUUAAAACUCGGCUCGGGGAUCUAUCGCUCGAGCCUGGAAUGUGGCCCCGCCUCCGGGGGCGUGGCCUCGCGGUCCUGCGGCCGCCAUUUCGGGGUUGACUCCGUGGUAGCAGAGUGACUGUUUCUGGUUGGAGGCCAGUGGUAUUGGGCUGCAGCCGCGGUCCGGCCACCCGCGAGGCCCUCAGCGGGCCAGACGCGCCUGGUGACACACGGCACAGGGCUCCAGCUCUGGUGCUUCCUCUCCGAAGUUGACAUCCGUGGAGAAUGGCGGCCUAGGGGUUUUGUGGGAAAGCCCUCAUGCUAUGUGAAACCUCAGGUUCCUCAUUUGUAGAUGGAGUGUUCGCUGUAGUACACCAAGUUGACCAAAAACUAAAAGUAUGGUGUUGCACACCUGUAAUGCCAGCGCUUGGAAAGUGAGGGCAAGAGGGUCGGGAGUUCACGGUCAUAUGAGCUGCAUGAGACCCUGUCUCAAAAAAGAAAAAAAAAUUAAAAUUGAUGCGACAAUAUGGCCCACCGUAAACUGAAGCCUGUUGUGCGUCUUCGUACAGCCCCCGUGGAAUAGACACCUGGAGGGCAAUGUGUAUUGUCAAUUGUGCUUUUUUUUUUUUUUCCCCUCUUUGAAAUAGGUUCUCAAUUUUAUUUAUUUAUUGUGGUUUUUCGAGACAGGGUUUCUUUGUCUAACAGCCCUGUCUGUCCUGGAACUCACUUUGUAAACCAGGCUGGCCUCGAGCUCAAAGAGAUCGCUCUGCCUCUGCCUCUUGAGUGCUGGGAUUAAAAGCAUGUGCCAGAUUCCCUCUUAAUUUGAGGCUGGCCUCAGACUCUGGUUCUCCUACCUCUGUGUAAGUAUUUUCCAAGUAGCCAUUUGGGGACCCGCAAGGUGACUCAGAGAGUAAAAAGUGUGCAGAGUAAAACCUGAUGGAAGAGAGAACAGGCUCCUGAAAGUUAUCCUCUGACCUCCAUUCGAACCCGGUGCUACGUGCGCAACCUGCAACCGCAUUUACAAAUACACAGACAAGUUUUUUUUUGUUUUUUUUAAGUAACCAUUUAUAAGUAAACAUCUUUUGGCAUUUAGUGCGUUCACAGUAUUGUGUAACCACAACUUUGGUUCCAAAACAUUUCCAUUACUCUGAAAUAAAAUUACCCACU
ensembl:bidirectional_promoter_lncRNA D830050J10Rik RIKEN cDNA D830050J10 gene